rnacentral:rRNA from 1 species
UGCGUAGGCGGUGCGGUAAGUCUUCUGUGAAACCUCCGGGCUUAACUCGGAGCCUGCAGAGGAAACUGCCGUGCUGGAGUAUGGGAGAGGUGAGUGGAAUUCCCGGCGUAGCGGUGAAAUGCGUAGAUAUCGGGAGGAACACCUGUGGCGAAAGCGGCUCACUGGACCAUUACUGACGCUGAUGCACGAAAGCUAGGGGAGCAAACAGGAUUAGAUACCCUGGUAGUCCUAGCCCUAAACUAUGAUCGCUUGGUGUGACAGGUACCCAAUCCUGUCGUGCCGGAGCUAACGCGUUAAGCGAUCCGCCUGGGGAGUACGGUCGCAAGGCUGAA